GCCAGUGUGGCGUAGUGGUUUGAGUGCUAAACUAGGAUUCUGGAGACCAGGGUUCGAAUCCCCACUGUUU